AACGAACGCUGGCGGCAUGCCUAACACAUGCAAGUCGAACGAAGCCUUCGGGCUUAGUGGCGCACGGGUGCGUAACACGUGGGAAUCUGCCCUUCGGUUCGGAAUAACAGUUAGAAAUGACUGCUAAUACCGGAUGAUGACGUAAGUCCAAAGAUUUAUCGCCGAAGGAUGAGCCCGCGUAGGAUUAGGUAGUUGGUAGGGUAAUGGCCUACCAAGCCGACGAUCCUUAGCUGGUCUGAGAGGAUGAUCAGCCACACUGGGACUGAGACACGGCCCAGACUCCUACGGGAGGCAGCAGUGGGAAUAUUGGACAAUGGGCGAAAGCCUGAUCCAGCAAUGCCGCGUGAGUGAUGAAGGCCUUAGGGUUGUAAAGCUCUUUUACCAGGGAUGAUAAUGACAGUACCUGGAGAAUAAGCUCCGGCUAACUCCGUGCCAGCAGCCGCGGUAAU
rnacentral:rRNA from 1 species